UUGGCAAAGAGAUCUAUUAAAUAAGACCCAUUAGGUAAAAAGCAGGUCUCUUUAGUGGAAGAGACCCCGUAUAACAAAAAGCGGAUCUCUUAUAACGCGUGGCCCUGUUAAAUGAAAAAGAAAAGAGCCAAUUUCACAAAACACGGGUCUGUUAUCUCCCGUGGGCCCCAAUUGAUGAAAAUGAAGAAGCCUGAUAUCCAAAAACACGGGUCUCUUCUCCACACCCCUCCUUUUUUUUUAUCUCUCUUCCUGUCUUCCUCUACAGCGAGCAAACAAAAGUUAAACUUUAAUUUCUCUCUCCUCUACAACCUUCGACAAUGUUCACUCUUCACAAAAAAAAGGAGUCUUAGUGAAAACCUAAAGAAGGCGACGACGAAGAAGAUCUUUGGAGCAGAUCUGCUAUCAAAAGAAGCAAAUGAUCGAGAGCGGAUUUCACUGUGGUGUGGCUGAACAGGGAAACGAUGAAGCUACAAAGCUGCAGGUAACGAAUUCAAAGAGGUUAGUAAAGGUAGAGGCACUCCUCUGUUUGCAGCUCCUGAUUUAUGUGCCUUUGGAACCUUUUUUUCCCUGGGUGCAGCAGUUCCUGAAUGAGAUCUUGUAAAUUACCAAGCAGAAGUUUUGGUUAAAAUAGCUAGGAAGUUUUCAAAUGUUGCUCCAACUAAACCUUUUAGACUUGGAUUGGAUGAGAUUUUGAACACUCUUGACAGGGCCUACAUUAUCAC